rnacentral:rRNA from 1 species
GACAGAGGGUGCAAACGUUGUUCGGAAUUACUGGGCGUAAAGCGCGUGUAGGCGGCCUUGCAAGUCGGAUGUGAAAGCCCUGGGCUCAACCCAGGAAGUGCAUUCGAAACUGCGGGGCUGGAGUCCUGGAGAGGAAGGCGGAAUUCUCGGUGUAGAGGUGAAAUUCGUAGAUAUCGAGAGGAACACCGGUGGCGAAGGCGGCCUUCUGGACGGUGACUGACGCUGAGACGCGAAAGCGUGGGGAGCAAACAGG